rnacentral:ncRNA from 1 species
ACUUUUACGUUGAAAAGGAUUAGUAGUGGACGAAACGAGCAUAGAGAGUUGACGGUUGGUGGAAGUCAACAAACGAUCGGACAUGAACUCGCCUUGGAGUAGCAAGUGUGAACCCUUCUAGUUGAAGGCAGUAGUAUUUCGCCGUAUCAUCCGCGUUAAGGAUUCGAGUGAUUAUCAUGUUUUCGUGAUAAUAAUCUGGGUGGUACCGCGGUAGGUUAUGUAUAUUCAAACCUCUCGUCCCUUUA